AUGUUUGAAAUACUGACCGACAGCUCAGAUUUAACUGUCUGUAGUUCUGUUUUGAUGGGUAUUAAACUUUCACUCAAAGCCGCCAGGAGCUGGGUCUUUAAAAUAACCACCGUCUCGUUACAGAGUGAAAGUAGCAGUUCCUCCUUAAGGUCAGAGAUUGCAGCAUCUGAGGGCCUCUUCAAAAGAAGACGUAGUUGAUGAAGGCGUUCUGGAGCAGGACCAGAAAGACCACGACCAAGCAGCCUUGAGAUCUUAGGCAGCAUCUCCCUCAGGUCCCUCUCUAUCUCCCCACACAUCCACCAACCACUGGAACACAUCUCCAAAGUUCUGCCAGGCCAGCUCAGCUUCCCCUCAGAAGAAGUGCCGCCAGAUGAAGGAGCCUUUUGAGAGGCAGCUGGCAUCAUGAUUGGACUGUACUUUGGUCUGUUCCAGUCCAGCUUCAGCUCCAGAGACGGCAGGCAGGACGAGUCAACGGAGGCCGGGUGGACGAAGGCAUGCAGCUGAGUACAAUCCAGAAAACAACAGAGGAGGAGAGCAGCGGCCCAGGACCAGAACAACCAGAGUAGCAUGACCAAAGAACUACAGACUCUUCACAACCUGCUCAAACUCUUGGUACAGGACCUCACCACACGGGUCAAGAAGGUUUCUGUCUCAUUUCUACUCUGAAGCUCACCUUCUCCUGCUCAAACUGCUGACAAAUGUUUCUGCUGCUCUAAAGUCUGCUCUCCAGAACUUCCUAAAAACUCUCAAAGUCUCUUCUGCUGCAGGUUGCUUUGUAGAACUGUUGCAGAAAACCUCACUAAACCACAUGGAGGGGCCUCAAGAUAGUUCCAAAUGAAACUGUACAAAAACCAAACUAGCACAACCCAAACACUAAAGUCUCCUACAGCCUACCAGAGAACCUCUGAGAACAGAGAAUCAGGACAGGAACUCUUACCUUCUAGACAACCAGCGUUGGUUCACAAGAGUACAGAAUGUGUCUGACCAAAAACCUCUGAAGACUCACUACAGCCAAGAUAAAGACACAACUCAGCUGCACCAAACCCACUAAUCACGGCACACAUUAGCACCAUGUGCUAACUGUGGUUAAAGAACCACAUUUACCAAGACAACUAUCCAGUACAAAGCCCUAAAACACACCAAGAAACACAUUAAAGUCUAUUUUACUGCUGGAAGCUGCAAGCCAACGCCUAAAGAACAAACUAAAGCAAUGGAGCCAAACCCGGUUCAGUGGUGAAGAGAAGCAGAGGAAAUGUUUGACUGAAGCUAAAUAAAGCAGGAAGACACUGAGCUGCUCAGGUGUUCCUGAUAACACCAAGCUGCCACCUGGACAGCCAAUAGGAACACAGCUUACUGGAAGUCCAGAGGGCUGGCUUAGUGAAGGAAAUUUAGUUUAAAGUUGAAGCAGAGAGUUAACAAAGUUGAAAACCACCUUCUGAUACCUGAAAUCUCUGAGUUUUCACACAAAGAACGCCUGAACAUGUUAAACUGGUUUUAUAGUAGAACCAUCACUGUAAAAACAUCAUAGUAUGGUGUGUUGCUCAAAAAACAUUAGGACCCGGCUGUCUAGGGUCGCCGAGGAGCAACACAAAAACAGGACAAACACUGGUUUCCAGGGGGUUAGGAGGCUAUU